rnacentral:misc_RNA from 1 species
GGCAACUGCUACUAUCUAUAUAUUUUAAGGUGUAGUUAAGAUUAAACAAGUCAGUCAAUUCAAUCUUCUUUAGAAGUUUUGAGUCCUCACCUUGAGGCCUCCAUCCUUCUUGUUUUUGUAGGGAUUAUAAAUAUUAUAAAAGGGUGAUCAUUGCAAGGGACAAUAUAGACUGCUCCCAAUUCAGUUCUAUCUGUUUGCCUUUUGUUUCAUGAAUGAUUUGUGAUGAUCGGAGUUAUUUGACUGCCAAAAUCUUUGUUUAUGCCAUAUAUCUGGAAAUAUCAGUACUGGUAGUAGUGAAAAGAAUUAAUUGAUUUUGAUGACCAACUGUGAAAAUGCAUUACUGGUAUAAUUAUGGUUAGUUGACACAGUAAGUCAAGUUUUAUUUUAUUAUUUUGGUACAACAGAGUAAGUUAAAUUAAAA